rnacentral:rRNA from 1 species
UACGGGGGGGGCAAGCGUUGUUCGGAAUUACUGGGCGUAAAGGGCGCGUAGGCGGUUGGAUAAGUCAGCUGUGAAAACCACGGGCUUAACUCGUGGCCUGCAGUUGAGACUGUCUGGCUUGAGUGUGGGAGAGGAGAGUGGAAUUCCUGGUGUAGCGGUGAAAUGCGCAGAUAUCAGGAGGAACACCAAUGGCGAAGGCAGCUCGCUGGAACGGAACUGACGCUGAGGCGCGAAAGCGUGGGAGCGAACAG